rnacentral:lncRNA from 1 species
CUUUGCCACCAUGGCCUUUUUGCCUUUACCUCCCUUAUCUUACCUCAUUUGCUCACUUUGUAUCUAGACUUAUUUUUUUACUGUAUUAUUGACUGUAUGUUUGUUUUUUCUAUGUGUAACUCUGUGUUGUUGUAUGUGUCAAACUGCUUUGCUUUAUCUUGGCCAGGUCGCAAUUGUAAAUGAGAACUUGUUCUCAACUUGCCUACCUGGUUAAAUAAAGGAGAAAUAAAAAAAUAAAAAAAAUAAUAAUGAUGGAACUAUGAGCUAGAGAUAUGAUGGUUUAUGGAGGUAGGGUCCUUCUCAAUGAGGUAAAAUACUCACUGCUCUUAAACUAAUUAAACUGAGGAAGGGUGACUGGGAUUCAUUUUCUAUUAAGAACACUGUUAGAUUUUUUCACUUAACCAUUAUCAGUAUCAGCAGAAUAUUAGAGCUAUCCUAUGAUACCAGGCAGCAUUAUCAGUAUCAGCAGACUGUUAGAGCUAUCCUAUGAUACCAGGCAGCAUUAUCAGUAUCAGCAGAAUAUUAGAGCUAUCCUAUGAUACCAGGCAAACAUAAUCAGUAUCAGCAGCCUGUUAGAGCUAUCCUAUGAUACCAGGCAGCAUUAUCAGUAUCAGCAGAAUAUUAGAGCUAUCCUAUGAUACCAG